AUUUGAUGAUGGGGGCAGCUAGCACACAGUCUCUUAAACCACUCCCAGUAAUCAUAUGAAGUUUCACCACUCUCUUGGCGAAUCCUAUAUAUUUAUUUUCUAAUAUU